CUGACAAAUUGUGGCGAUUUGUAACCGGAUUGUGGGCCACUUUAAAUAUGCCACUAAAAAGUUGAAAUAAUUCAUUCC
rnacentral:ncRNA from 2 species